rnacentral:rRNA from 1 species
CGAACGGCAGCAUGAGAGAGCUUGCUCUCUUGAUGGCGAGUGGCGGACGGGUGAGUAAUGUAUCGGAACGUGCCCGGUAGUGGGGGAUAACUACGCGAAAGCGUAGCUAAUACCGCAUAUUCUCUAYGGAGGAAAGAGGGGGAUCGUAAGACCUCUUGCUACCGGAGCGGCCGAUAUCAGAUUAGCUGGUUGGUGGGGUAACGGCCUACCAAGGCGGUGAUCUGUAGCUGGUUUGAGAGGACGACCAGCCACACUGGGACUGAGACACGGCCCAGACUCCUACGGGAGGCAGCAGUGGGGAAUUUUCGACAAUGGGGGGAACCCUGAUCGAGCCAUCUCGCGUGUGGGACGAAGGCCUUCGGGUUGUAAACCACUUUUCUCAACGAAGAAAAGUCUUAGG